rnacentral:rRNA from 1 species
AUUGAACGCUGGCGGCAGGCCUAACACAUGCAAGUCGAACGAGUGGCGGACGGGUGAGUAAUGUCUGGGAAACUGCCCGAUGGAGGGGGAUAACUCCUGGAAACGGUAGCUAAUACCCCUUACCACCGGUUGUGCCCAGAUGGGAUUAGCGAGUAGGUGGGGUAAGGGCGCACCUAGGCGACGAUCCCUAGCUGGUCUGAGAGGAUGACCAGUCACACUGGAACUGAGACACGGUCCAGACUCCUACGGUAGGCAGCAGUGGGGAAUAUUGCACAAGGGGCGCAAGCCUGAUGCAGCCAUGCCGCGUGUAUGAAGAAGGCCUUCGGGUUGUAAAGGACUUUCAGCGAGGAGGCGUUACUCGCAGAAGAAGCACCGGCUAACUCCGUGCCAGCAGCCGCGGUAAUAC